rnacentral:rRNA from 1 species
AGUUUGAUCCUGGCUCAGGAUGAACGCUGGCGGCGUGCCUAACACAUGCAAGUCGAGCGAAGCACUUUGCUUUGAUUCUUUCGGGAGGAGAAGUGAUUUGACUGAGCGGCGGACGGGUGAGUAACGCGUGGGUAACCUGCCUCAUACAGGGGGAUAACAGUUAGAAAUGACUGCUAAUACCGCAUAAGCGCACAGGACCGCAUGGUCCGGUGUGAAAAACUCCGGUGGUAUGAGAUGGACCCGCGUCUGAUUAGUUAGUUGGCGGGGUAACGGCCCACCAAGGCGACGAUCAGUAGCCGGCCUGAGAGGGUGAACGGCCACAUUGGGACUGAGACACGGCCCAGACUCCUACGGGAGGCAGCAGUGGGGAAUAUUGCACAAUGGGGGGAACCCUGAUGCAGCGACGCCGCGUGAGCGAUGAAGUAUUUCGGUAUGUAAAGCUCUAUCAGCAGGGAAGAAAAUGACGGUACCUGACUAAGAAGCCCCGGCUAACUACGUG